rnacentral:rRNA from 1 species
UACGUAGGGCGCAAGCGUUGUCCGGAAUUAUUGGGCGUAAAGAGCUCGUAGGCGGCCAGUUGCGUCUGCUGUGAAAUCCCGGGGCUCAACCCCGGGCUUGCAGUGGAUACGGGCUGGCUGGAGGCAGGCAGGGGAGAACGGAAUUCCCGGUGUAGCGGUGAAAUGCGCAGAUAUCGGGAGGAACACCGGUGGCGAAGGCGGUUCUCUGGGCCUGUACUGACGCUGAGGAGCGGAAGCGUGGGGAGCGAACAGG